GGUUUUGCACAAUGGCAAUAUCAUAACCAAUGAGGUCUAUCUGAGGCGUAAUUAUUGCUAAUUGAAAACUUUUCCCAAUACCCUGCCAUGACGACUUGAAAUAUAGUCGGCAUUAGCAAUUUUUGACAGUCUCUACAGAGA
ensembl:snRNA U4 U4 spliceosomal RNA